CUAUAGGCUGGCCUGGCUUCCUAUAUAGCUUGAUACGUGAACAUCGUGUGCUUGUACUCCCUCAAUAGUUUGGGCACAUUUCAACCAGCUCAAUCCGAGCACAGUUGCAGGUUUCCAGACCAGAGCUGCAUCAACACACCACUGCACAAAGAAACCAACCCCAGAUCCACUAUAGACAUGAUCAUCAGACUGGGCAGACUGACCCCUGGAUACUUCCGCCUCCUACAGAGACAGGUGGCCGGUGAGGUGCAGACCCAGCCACAGGACCGCGCGGUCAACCAGAUAGCCAUGAUGCUGGCCAUCAUGGGCCUGAGCCUGUCCUACUACAGUGCCAAACGGAUGACCGAGAAGGUCCAGAGGCUCCAGAAGAGAGGAGAUCCCCAUACACCCUGAAGAGACCCCCCCCCCCCCCCCCCCCCCAGUGCGGACCUCAACCUGGAGAGAAGACGAACCAACGCGGAAAUGAGAAGAGGAGACAUGGAGAUGACAGUGUUGGUGUCCAGAACAACACCUUUUCACAACCAAUCAGUCGUAGUCACGUCAUUCAGACACUGGAGUUUUUUUACUGGGAUCACUCUCAAUGCGAGGAGAAUUCGGGGGCUGCUGCUGUUAAGGGUAUCUUAAUCUUUCACCCCAAUGGCUGUUGGGAGGACCUUGUGGGUGGAUUUUGGGAGGGGGGAUAUGGGGAGUGUAUGUGGGAAAGGCCCAUGGUGGGGUUCGUGUGGUCCUGAUAAAGUUUGGGUGGUAAAAAGUACAACCAGCUGUCUAUGGUCAGGCUGGGCCCGUACUUCAGUCGUUGCCAAGGUACAAGCGUGCAGGAUGCCGUCAAUACUGUUCUGAGCUAAAAAGGGAUAGAGAAAUGCUUAACUAAUUAUUCUAAUGUACUGUGAAUCUUGCCAGUGCUCCAAGUAUAUGACAGUUUAUCUAAAAUAACUGAACAGUAAUUAUUUUUUAAGGGAAGGCUAUCUGCAUUUGAGAUGUAUCUAGUAAUGACUGAAGGCAGGCUCGUAGUGUGGCUGAAAGUGGGGAGAAAUGAACCCUCUUAGGUUUUUGUAAUUCCUUAUUGUUAAAAAAAAUAAAAGUGAGCUAUGUGAACUAGA